GACAGAGGCCUCAAGCGUUAGGCGGAAUCACUGGGCUUAAAGCGUGUGUAGGCGGACUUCUAAGUGCCUUGUGAAAUCCCACGGCUCAACCGUGGAACUGCUGGGCAUACUGGGCGUCUUGGGCCAACUAGGGGCAGCCGGAACAAGCGGUGGAGCGGUGAAAUGCGUAGAUAUCGCUUGGAACGCCGAAGGUGAAAACAGGCUGCUGGGGUUGCG
rnacentral:rRNA from 1 species